AAGGGGGAGCGACUCACCUGUAGAUGGCUCUUGACGUGUGCCAAGGAUAGACAAACAAAACAUGAGCCUUUUAUCAUCACCCAGGCAGUGAAUGACUAGACUCCAGAAUUGAGACCAGGAAACUCAGACAAAAAACAAAAGUGACCGGCAAUCGAUCGAAACUGA